rnacentral:rRNA from 1 species
CAGCAGCAGCCACGGUAACACGUAGGGGGCAAGCGUUAUCCGGAUUUACUGGGUGUAAAGGGAGCGCAGACGGCUCUGCAAGUCUGAAGUGAAAGCCCGCGGCUUAACCGCGAGACUGCUUUGGAAACUGCAAGGCUUGAGUAUCGGAGGGGCAGGCGGAAUUCCUAGUGUAGCGGUGAAAUGCGUAGAUAUUAGGAAGAACACCGGUGGCGAAGGCGGCCUGCUGGACGAAAACUGACGUUGAGGCUCGAAGACGUGGGGAGCAAACAGGAUUAGAGACCCCAGUAGUCCCUGUCUCUUAUAC